AUGCACACACUGCCUGUCCCUCCAGAGACGCCAGUGGCGCCAGCGCAGGGCGCGCUUUCCCAGAGAGGUCUGAGCUGGGGACAGAAGUCGGGGAUUCUUCUCCAUGGGAACACAGGGGGAAAUCCCCAGAUGAGCGCGAGUGACAGAGGUGAGAACUGCAGGGUGCAGGCCAAGCCCUGGGGCGCGCAGGUAGGAAAAGGAGACACCUGGGACCGCGGAUUGCAGUCCCAGCAGCUCGUGCCCCAGAGUUCUCAUUCACACGUGGGCCUCCGGAAACGGCCUUGCCGUUGGUCCUUGGAGCCCAGGGCUGCGACCUGGACCGGCUGCACGGAGCAGGCAGCCUGCAGGUGGGGCCGGCCGUCCUCUCCUGAACGAAUCAACCCAGACCUUCCUGCCGCGUCUCCCAGGAAAACCGUCCCCUUGGUGACAGUGACUCAUUGGUGCUUUCUGACAGCUCGGUUAGGCAUCCAGGAAGCGGCUGCUUUGGGCAAACAUCCUCCUGCCGUGGGUGAUGGUCCCCACAGCUCCCGCCACGGCACAAGGGGGCGCCGCCUGGGUCAGGGAGGGCUGAGCUGGGAUCUAGGAGCCAGGGGAUGGGAUUCUGAUGGAGAGAGAAGGUGCACCCGGGUGUCGGAUGGCAGUUGCCGGGCCUCUGCUCAAUUAUGCAGAAAUGUGUCAUCAGAAAGGCUCCAGGCUGUGAUUCGCCAACGUUCAGAAAGAGCAACUUGGCCUUUGUCAGACCAAAUUCCGCGGGGAUGCGAAUUCCAGAGACGUUGACCUGAGGACAUAGACAGACACACAGUCCUCGCCAGUGAGCUCCGAGCUGCCUGGGGACCCUGCCAGCCUGCCGGAUCUGGGAUUGCGAACCUAAAAGCCAACCACGGAAGUGAGUCUCUCCUUCCUCGGUAGCCGUGCCGGGUAUUUCACCAUAGCAACGAAAGACCAACUGCAGCUAACGCUGCCUACUUGCUCACUCCCGGGUCCCUCCCGUGCGCACGGCACCUGUAGCGUCUUCGGCGUGGGCCAGUUCCUCUGCUGGCUCCUCCAAUGCUGAGUUGGUGAGGAGGAAGGGACUGGACCGUGGAGAAAGUUCCUUUCCUCUCACGUCACAGAGCAGAGGCCCAGGUCAGGGUCAGAACGCACAGGCUCAGGUUUGCCUCUGCCACUUGCUGCCUGUGUGACCCUCACCUAAGACCUCAGCUCUCCAGGAUCCCAGCAAAAAUGCUAACUCUCAGAAAUCAGCUUACAGGAAGUCAGCUCUCCUGGCUGUGAACACAGCCACAAGACAGAAGGGAGACUCUUGGGUGGGGGUACAUUCCGCCCGUGCCCCAGGCAGAGGCACAAAGUCCACAGAUCUUUGAUCGCCAAGGACGACGUCCGGAUGAAGCCUGACCAGACCCACAGGGCUGCAGCUCUCCAGCAAGGACAAGCAGCACACACAGCGAUGGCAUGGGCAGCAGUGUGGGCACACCUCUGGGACACCUCUGCCCAGGGAGAGUGCACUGCCGUGCGGGAGGCAAUGUGUGGUAGCAUGUGAUCUGGUUUUUCGGGACCUUGGGUUGUCCCAACAGAGCUCCCUGAACCCAAAGGGGGUUGAGCGCCCCCCUUCCCAGGCCCCCCCCACACAAGGAGUGGGCCAGGACGGGGCCCUUGAGGGGGGGGGGGGGGGGGUGGUGCAGCAUCUACCGGGAGCAAGCGAGGAGGCGUCUCCGCCCGAAGCCUCCAGGGACUGUGCACGGCUGGGCCCCGGGAGAUGUCCUGGAGAAGAGAUGGCAGAUUUGAGUAGAGAACGGAACUGAGACCCUCGGUGUUCUCCCGGAGCCGUCAGAGAAGGGCAGCAUUCAGGGUGGAGAGGGGACCCAGCUGGUGGGACUGAGAUGGGUGGCCGCGGGCUCACCUGCUCUCCUCAGUAGCCCCCACUGGCCACUCCUCCCCAGGAUCCCAUGGGCUCUCCUGCUCUCCUGAGUGCCCCCACUGGCCACUGCCCCCCCCAGGAGCCCGUGGGCUCGCUCUCCUGCUCUCCUCAGUAGCCCCCACUGGCCACUGCCCCCCCAGGAGCCCAUGGACUCUCCUGCUCUCCUCAGUAGCCCCCACUGGCCACUCCUCCCCAGGAGCCCGCGGGCUCACCUGCUCUCCUGAGUCUCCCCCACUGGCCACUCCUCCCCAGGAGCCCACAGGCUCACCUGCUCUCCUGAGUCUCUCCCACUGGCCACUGCCCCCCCAGGAGCCCGCGGGCUCUCCUGCUCUCCUUAGUAGCCCCCACUGGCCACUCCUCCCCAGGAGUCCGCGGGCUCACCUGCUCUCCUGAGCCUCCCCCACCGGCCGUCCCUCCCCUGAAAACCCCAGCUCUACACAAUUCCGUGAGCCUCCCCCUGCCACACAGCCUCCAGCUGUGGAGGGGAGUUGUGCACGUGGUGGGGUGCGGUGGCAAGCACGUCACAGUGACUCCUGUGUGUUUGGGGGCAGGUACUUUGAGGCUAAGCAAACAUCCUUUUUCCUCCAAAAUGGCACUCAGGGGCUGGCCUUGGGGUGCGCAGUUCAGCCACUGCCCGCAGCACCUGGAGUCCUGGCUGCUCCACUUCCGACCUUGCUCCCUGCUGUGGCCUGGGACAGCGGUGGAGGAUGGCCCAAGUCCUUGAGCCUCUGAACCCGCGUGGGAGACCCGGAAGAAGCUCCUGGAUGCUGACUUCGGAUCAGCCCAGCUCCAGCUGUUGCAGUCAUCCGGGGAGUGAACCAGUGGAUGGAAAAUUUCUCUCUCUCCCCCUCUGCCUCUGCCUCUCUGUAACUCUGCCUUUCAAAUAAAUAAAUAAAUAAAUACCUCCCUUUCUCUCUG
ensembl:lncRNA